GAACAAGUUAAGGUGAAAGUGAAAGGAGUUACCUCCAUUGCCAAGACUGAUGGCAACUUCAUUUGUGCUACUUUAGAUUGGUGGCCUGAAGACAAAUGUGAUUAUAAUCAAUGCCCGUGGGGAAAGGCUGGAAUCCUCAAUUUGGAUUUGAAGAACAAGAUUCUGGCCAAUGCAAUAAAAGCAUUUAAUCCUCUUCGGAUCAGAAUUGGAGGUUCCUUAGAAGAUCAAGUCGUCUAUAA